rnacentral:rRNA from 2 species
CACGCCGUAAACGUUGGGCACUAGGUGUGGGACCUUUCCAACGGGUUCCGUGCCGCAGCUAACGCAUUAAGUGCCCCGCCUGGGGAGUACGGCCGCAAGGCUAAAACUCAAAGGAAUUGACGGGGGCCCGCACAAGCGGCGGAGCAUGUUGCUUAAUUCGAGGCAACGCGAAGAACCUUACCUGGGUUUGACAUGUAGGGAAAAGCUGCAGAGAUGCAGUGUCCUUCGGGGCCCUACACAGGUGG